UCUUCUCCAGAAGAAAGUUGAUACGACACCUUGGUAGAGAGAGAGUGAAUUAGGAAUUAGGAAACGUUCGAAAUUGGGUCGUAAAUUAAUGGGUUGAGCCGAGUUGGUUGGUGGAAGGAAGAAAUAAAGAAAUCAACAAAGGCAGACAAAGAGCUUAGGAAAAGAAGAAUAAGAAUGGUGUGGUGAGAAAGAUGAAGGUCCGUUCGGAAAGGGAAAAGACGAAAGUUGUGAUUAGGCAUUUGUCCCCUUCUCUCACUCUAUCCGAUUUCUUCCCAACACAUCGAUUCUCACUUCGCUUCUCGCUACAAUUGGUUCUCCUUCCGUCCCGGCAACAACAGUCACAAGCGUCAGAUGCAUUCCCGAGCCUAUAUAGACUUCAAGUGUCCCGAUGACGUUUUCGAGUUCACCGAGUUCUUUGAUGGGCACGUUUUUGUUAACGAGCGGGGUGCCCAGUAUAAAGUGAUAGUUGAGUAUGCACCUUCUCAGCGUGUUCCAAAGCCAAGUGCCAAAAAGAUGGACGUGAAGGGACUAUAUUCAAAGAUCCAGAUUAUCUUGAGUUCCUCAAACUAAUUGCAAAACCUCAAGAGCAUCUUCCUAGUGCAGAGAUACAAUUGGAAAGAAAAGAAGCUGAGCAAGCUGGUUAGUUAUUUGUUCACCAACUGUAUUUGAUUUACACUUAUUUCAAAGUGAAUUGAUAAAUAAGCAUUAGAAACAACACCAUGAUCACUUUUCUGUCUCUGACAUUAUGUGCUCAUCUGCCAUUGCCUAAUGUUAUGGUGGUGUAUGUUGUUUCUACAUUAGUUCUAUUGUUAAAUGUGUUUUAGAGGAUCUUAGUACUGGCUUCUAGGCUAAAUGUGGUCAUGAGGAUUUAUCUGAAGACAAAUUUCAGUAUCAUUGGUCUCAUUCUUAUAUUGUAUCUUUUCCCGGGGCCAGCAAGGAAACACCUAUUGUCACACCCCUGAUGGAAUAUAUUCGUCAGAAACCUGCUGCUGACAGUGGUAUGCAUGUAAUGUUUCUGGGUCUGCAUAGUCUUUUGUGUCAUGUUUAGGUUCUCCUCCAGGGUGCAUUUACUUUGGAGCUUAACUUUAUUGAUUGAAGAUUUUUUGCCGCUUUC